AUUUUGAACUUCAUCCAGAAUGUUCAAGUUUUACUUGACUUUCAAGAUCCAAAUGAAGUGCUUUCUUAUCCAUGUACAUCAUACACCUCUCGUUUGAUUCUAGUCUUACAGCUGGUUGAUUAUUUGAUCAUAUAUUUCUUUAAUUAAGAGUAGGAGCCUCAUGAGUAGGACCUCAUUAAUUUAAAUAACAAUAUUGCGUGGAUUUCUAUUCUCACUUUGCUGUUAAAACUCUUUAAUAGUUCUAACAAGAGGAGAGUAUAGAAAGAGAGUGUAUGUCAUGAUGUUCAAAUGUUCCCAGUUCUCAGUAAGUGCUGAUAGCUUCCUGACCAGCAGCCAUCCUAACCAGGAACUAACCACAUCAAGUAGGGCAUAUUGAGAAGAAACCAACUUCAGUAAGACAAGCAGAGUCUUCAUUAAAAAAAAAAAGAAAGAAAAAAAAAAAAGAAAAAGAAAAGCAUAUUCUCAUCAUACUGGGUUCUAACUAAAUCAAACCAAAGCACACUGAAACCAGUGCUUCUCUUGGUCAGCUCCCUUCACCUCUUGGGUGAUGGUGUAGGUUGAUAACCUACCCCUGUCCCCAGCGGUGAAGGCAGAUGGCAGCUGCUUGUGAGUAAGGGGAAGCCUCAGUCCACUGUGUCCAUGUCUUCAUUUUGAAGUAAAUGGGAGAAAUGAGGCCAGUGGUUUGAUAAAUUAUAUCAAAAAUAGUCCCUUCAUGCUAAUGGAGUGUGAAGAAGCUGAUGUACUGGAGAUGAUCUAUAAUAUUUCAUAUUUCUCUGAGGAGAAAAAUGAUAAACUUGAUGAUGUGUGAUUUAUUCAUGUUUUUUUAGAUGAGGGGGAAAAGAAAUCCUCAAGUCAACUGCCUGUUUCUCACUCCCAGAAGCUGGCUUGUGGAUUUUACACUGGGAUUGGAGGUGGGGCUUGUUUAGAGAGAUGCCUAGGGAGACUUUGAUUAAUCGCCAGACCUUUGGCAGUUGGUUGGGAGAGGGUAAUUAUGCCAGCAUUGUUGCUAUAUUAUCAUCGCUAUUUCAUGGCUCGACAUCACCAGGUGACAAAUGUGUUAAUUAUUACAUUUCUACCGAGG
rnacentral:lncRNA from 1 species